UGUAGAUUAACCUGUAUAAUUAAGAAAGUGAUAACCAUCAGCAAACAUGAAGGCUGGUUCUAAAACCUUGGUCUUGCUCUUUAUGUUAAAGUGAUGAACAGAAUGCUUAAGGAAAGGGAAAAAGAGAAGUAAAACUAAAAAUGGUUUGUAAGAAACCUUUUCUCAAGACUUUUUGCAGGUUAAGCACUACAUACACUAGUCCUACUUUUAGCUGAUAUAAG
rnacentral:misc_RNA from 1 species